UAGCUUGGGAAUCUGGCUUAUGGAGGGGGAUAACUACGGGAAACUGUAGCUAAUACCGCGUAGUAUCGAGAGAUGAAAGUGCGGGACCGCAAGCCGCAUGCCAUGAGAUGAGCCCAAGUGGGAUUAGGUAGUUGGUGGGGUAAAGGCCUACCAAGCCUGCGAUCUCUAGCUGGUCUGAGAGGAUGGCCAGCCACACUGGAACUGAGACACGGUCCAG
rnacentral:rRNA from 1 species